GCGUGCGCGGCGGGCCGGCCCCUGGCGCUCUCGCCUCGCUCGGCCGGGCUCCCCUCGGCCGGCUCCCGGCAGCCUCGGUCUCAACCUCGCUAUGAGUCUGGGCCUCGGGGUCUCGCGGCUCGCUACGGAGAACGAGAGUGCACGCGCCCUCACUGAUGCCGCCGCGCGCGCGCACGCGGCCCCCUCGUCGGCUAUCCGCCCGCGCGCUCCGGCUCCCGCGCUCUCGGUGUCUCACACGCUCAACCCUCGCAGCCGGGGAGCCAGACACAGACACACCUCUCGAAGGCUGUAGACCGGAGGAAAGGAACGGGGCGGGUCCGGGAUCCCCGGGGGGCGGAUGUUUAUUUGGGGGAGGGGCUCGAGACCCGGAGCGAGCUGACUGGCCCGGAGCUGCGGAGCCGCCGUCGUAGCAGCCCGGCAGGGGCGGGCCCGAGGGGAGGAGGCGGGGCCCAAGCCCUUCGGCAAUCUCCGUCGCCUCCAGCCAGGAGGGCCCGAGCCCGAGCCGACCCGGGCUGCAGGGAAGGAAUCGGCAAAGUUCGGGAAUCUCCGGGAGGCGAGGCGGGAGAGUAAAAGAAAAGGAAGGAUGUUUAAGCCUCAAAAUCCCUGACACCUGGAAUUAAAAGCCUGCCUCAGCUGGGUGUCUGGAAGCACCAAAUGGUGUCCAAGAAGUCACUGCUGCUCUGCACCACUGGAACUCGACACUCCAGACCUCAGGCAGGAGGCAAACUGGGACACUGAGCCUGGGAACCACCCAGAUCCGGGGCCCCUGCUCCGUGAAGUCACCUCCUUGCAGGAAAAACAAUUACAGGCCUUGGAGGGAAGGGGGGGUAGCAGUGAUUCAGAGCUGCCCCCAGGAUCCCGCCUUUGAACUGGCACAAACCAAGGAACUUCUGGGAAAUGCCCAAAGCAAACAGGCUUGCCUCCCUCCCUCCAACAGAAGACCAGAGGUACUCAAGAGCUUGGAUUCCCCUGAGCUUCCUCUAAGUAACAAGAAAAAGCGACCAGAAUAGACAGGCUGUUCCUACUCAGCCAUGGCUUGCAUUUUACAAAGGCGAGAGAAACAUCCCAUCACACUCAGGGUGAGGAGAAAGAGGAAGCAAGAGCAGACUCCUGCCAUGUGGCAGACUGAUCCCAGAGCAGAUACCCACCCUAAUGAGAAACUGGAUUCCGGCUAAGACAAAUACGGGCUUUUUAAAGCUCAUUCCACCACCAAAGCGGCCCCAGUAGACAGCAGCGUGGCCCUCUGACAUUGGCAUCCCUCAUCCCCUUUGAGCCUGGACUUUAUUGAACAUGGUUCUGCCUGUGGGCUAAAGAGCUCGCUCUAGCCUUAGCAUUCUCCACAUAAUGAGUGUGUCUCGUUUCUAUUUCUGUAGAGUUUGAUGAGGGAUGAUAACAGGGUAAUUGAAUUCUUUUUUUUCUUUCGGUGCCAGCCUCCCUGCCCUCUGGCUCUGAGGUUUCAUGCAUUGUCCUCCUGGCUUUUUAAAUUUCCUUUCUUACAGUUGGCAUGGAAGGGGAGGGAAGCUUUCUUACAUUUUAUCUUCCUAGAGAAUAAUAUCUAAUAUGUCUAUAGUAAGUGUGUGGACCAUGGGAUUUUACAACUGGAAGGAUUCCAACGAUAGUCUCCUUGUGCCAUAGAUUAGGAAAUUGUAGGCUCAGAUAAUGUAAGAAACUUCCUCAAAGUUUUGCUUCCCCAUCCAGAGUUGGGAAAAGGGGUCAUUUGAGGGAGCAAAAAGAAGGAGGUCCUUAAAAAAGAUGAUUAUUUUUCCCCUAAAUGUCACUAGACACAGUGACAUCACAUAGUCCAUGCUUACUAAAUUCUUGGUGACUGAUUGACCCAGGAUACCAGAGCAGUACAACAGAGAAAGCCCAGUAGUAUUUACUACGGGCCAGCCACUGUGCCAAGCGUGUUACAGAUAUUAUCUGACUUGAUCCUCACAACAGCCCAGCAAAGUUUUAUGGUUGAGGAGCCUGAGUCACUAGUCCAGAGUCAUGCAUCUAGGAACUAUCUGAGGCCAGAUUUGAACUUUAGUUUUCCUGACUCCACACUCAGUGUUCUAGCCAUGGAGCUACUUAGUUACACUGGACAUCACAUCGUCAAUUGAGAGCUAGAGGAAACCUCCUAGGUCCUCUCAUCCAACUUGCUGAGAUCCAUAAAGGUGAAGUGAUUUGCCCAGUGUCCCACAGGCAGUGUUACAGGUGAGAGUUGAACAUUGUCACCCUCUGGCUUCCCACACUGUUCCUUCUGCUUCCAGAUCCCAUGAAUAAGUCUCUACUGACCCAGCCUUCGGGCACUUGGGACCCUGCUGCCUCUGUGUGGUUCUAGGUAAAUGCCAUCAAGAAAGGAAAUAUGAGGAGAGAAAGCCAGAGUUAAAGGGAUCAACACAUCUAGACCUGAUGAGAGUCAGGAUUCAUUUUGAGAUUCAUUUUGGAGAGAGGAAAGAGAACCAGAAUGCAUUUCACCAAAAUCCCCUUACCUCACCAGCCUUGACCAUGCUCUCCAUAUCUACAAGGAAACAUGGAAGGAAAGAGGGAAAGAGAUGAGAAAUAUUUUACAAAAUUAUACCUCUUCCUGUGUCCUGCCCCACUUGAAGAACUGGGAGACCAGAAGUUUAACUGUCAGAAGGCCCAAGGAUCUAUGCCAGUUUCCCCCCAAUUCAAUUCAAUAAAACAUAUCUAAGCACCUACUGUGUGCAAGAGAGUAGAAUCAAUUUCUGUUUCUCGGGGAACACAGCUUAAAAGCCUGGCAGUAUCUUCAAUAGAAAUUGAAAGAUGAUCAGCUCAGUUUUGGACAUUUAUUGAUUGACUGAGAUCCCUACAGGACCUCUGUGAGGAGAUCCAAGCUUUUAUAGUUACAACUAGAAGGUAGGAUGUCAUGGGAGAGGAUAUAAUGGAAGGAGGUAAUUCAUUCCACUCUCUUAUUCUUCCAGAUGAUGUAAAGCACCAUUUAUCUAUUUGUGUAUCUAUACUUACAGGACCAUAGAUUUAGAACUGGAAGGGACCAGAGAUGUUAUUUUGACCAACCUUUUCAUUUUAUAGCAGAAAAGAACUAUAGCUUAGAGUGGUCAAGGGCUUGUUCAGAGUUCCAAAGUAACAAGUGUCUCGGGAUUUAUUAGGCCCUCCUGAUUUCCAAGUCAAGAGUUCUCUCCAGAGUACAUACAAAAUAUGAGGCUAUCAAUAAGAAUAACAUUGGGUCUUGAUUAUAUAAAUAUGGGAAGCCAUCUGUAUAGAGAUGAUCUAUAUGAGAAUUGAUACCCAGAUGAGAGAGAGGGAGAAAGGGAGGGGGAAUGAGAGGGGAACAAGGAAGGUAGAAGAGAGGAAGGAGAGAAGAGAAAGAAAGAAGAGAAAAGGGAGGCAAGUCCGGUCCUUGGGAGGACCUGAGCUUAGGGAUUCACAAUCCAGCAAAGCAAACUUGGAAGGGAAAAAAAAAAAACAGUCUAAGAGUGAGGAAAAGGACAGAUAAGAGAAUUUUUAAAGAUUCUUGUCCUAGAAGCAGAGGAAGAAAGGACCAUCCAAGAAGACAGGAUAGUCAACUGUGUUAAAUGUUACAACCGAUCAAAAAGGAUGAGGACCCAGAAAAAAAAAAAAAGCAUCUGAUUUAACAGUUAAGAGAUUAUUGGCCCCCCGCCAGCUGGGUGAGAGCCUUUUCUCUGGAGUGGUAAGGUCUGAAGCCAAAUUGCCAGGUGAUGAGAAGUGAGUGGGUGGUUAAGAAGUGGAGGCAACCACUGCAGGCAAUUCUUUCUAGGAGUCUGGCAACUGAAGGAGGAGAGCAACGGAGGGAUGCAGGGUCAAAAGUCUUCAGGUUUUUAUGGGAUGGGGUGGGUAUCCAUAGAUAAAGCCCCAACUCCACAGAAUGACAUUCUCCUCUCUCCAGCUCCAUCUUCCUCCUCUUCCCCCUCCUCCACUUAUUUUUUCUCAUAUAUACAAAUGUCAGCCCACAAAAAAAUAAAAAUAUAAUGAUGACUAGUGGGUUUUUUUGAGCAAAGUCGGGGUUCCUAAAAUAGCCUUCCCAAUAAUGGAAUAUCCUAGAAAGAAGGUUGUGACCAGUUUGGAAAGGCCCUUCUCCCCAGUUGGCUGUCACAUAAGAAAUCUCUGUUAAAUUCACAGUUUUCUCCUCUAAGGACAAGGAUUCCACCCUACAUUACUCACCUAACCCAUUCUCCUCCCCUCUUCACUUGGAAACUCUUUUUAGAUAUCAUGCUGCAAGAGCCCAGGCAGUUAGGUUACUAAUUGGAUUGAGCACUGGAUGGAAUCAGGAAGGUCUGGGUUCAAAUCCAGUCUCUCCUAUGUACUAGCUACUAUGUGAUUCUGGGUAAGUAACUUAACCUCCAUCUCCCUCAGUUUCCUUAUCUAUAAAAUAGGGCUAUGGCAUCUGCCUCCCAGGGUUAUUGUGAGGCCACAAAUAAGAUAAUUGUAAAGACAAAACCUGACACAUCCUAGGCACUUAAUAAAUUAUUGUUUCCUUCAUUCUCCCUGUAACUAAGCCAUUGGUCCUAGUUUUAGUUUUUUCAGAGAAAUGUAAAGAGACUUGUAGGAUUUUAUAUGAAAGGGAAUGUAAAUAUCAAAUAAUUCUACCCUUUUACUUUACAGAUAAGGAAACUAAGGCCCAGAAAAGGAAAUAACUCAAUGAAAGACACAGAAGUAGCUGAAAUCCAACCAGGUCUUGAAACCUGAUUCUUUUCUAAUUCACCUUUUGUAAAAAUAAGUUGUAUUAAUGUCCCAUCUUUUUAACAUGACAGGAGAUAUCCUUGACACCCCUCCCACCCUCUUGUAAACAAAGAAAAACAAUUUAAAAAAACAACCAGCACAGUAACUCUGAAUGGCAUAAAACAUGUUCCAUACACAUAACUUGGAGUCACUCAUCUGAAUUCAUCUGCUUCUGAAUUUUCUUUUCAUUUACAUUUUUAUAAUUAUUGAAUUCAUAAUUUCUUCUGGUAAAAAAUAAUCCAUUCUACUUUUAUGCCCCAUUUUGUUCAGUCAUUCUCCAAUCAGUGCACAUUGUUUCCUAUUUAUUAAAAGUGAUAGUAAGUACUUAGUAAAUGCUUGUUGACUUAUAGAUAGAACCUUGUAUUCUACCUCUUACACUGGAAGUAGAGUAAGAGAUUGAUAAAUCAACAAUUUAGUAAAUUGGUAAAGAGGACGGGACCUGAAGUCAGGAAAAUCUGAAUCCAAAUCCCUAGUUUGAUUCUUCCUGGCCAGAUGACUAUGGGAAAGUCACUCAGGUCUCGGAAGCUAAGUUUCCUCAUCUCUAAAAUGAGGAUAUUGGACUAAGGUCCAUUCCAAACUAAAGUGUCCUGACUCAGACAAAUUCUCUCUUCACCACAUAAGACUGGCUAUCCAAGAGUUUGCUCAAUUAAGAUAUACAGGCAUGGGGUAGCUCUGUGGCGUAGUGGAUAAAGCACCAGCCCUGAAGUAGGAGUUCAAAUCUGUUCUCAGACACUUAACACUUCCUAGCUGUGUGAAAAAAAAAAAAAAAAAGAUAUACAGGCAUGCACAUACAUAUUCUACCACACAUACAUACACCCCAGAGUUGGGGAAGUAUGAGGGGAAGGAAGGAAGCCAAAAAAAAAGGAAGGAGAGAGGAAGAAAAGAUGGAUGGAGAAGGAAGAAAG